CCAAUAGUUUUGAAAGAGAUGGAGGGAAAAAAAAUAAGAGAACUUAGCUUGCCUUAGCAGGUCCCUUAUGUGUGUAAGGGGCCCACCACUUAAUCAAUUUUUAUUUUCUAUUUUUUUAUUUGGAAACAUUAACCAAAACCCUAUUUCUUUUGAUCUCUUGUCAUUUCCCUAAACCCCAUCACGCCGCUCCCUCUUUCUCUUACACUCUCUUCUCCUCUCCUCUCAUCUUGUAUUUCUCCCGGAGCGAAAAUACGUUACCACCACCUCCUUCUUAACGCCGGCAUCUCUGCCUCCUCCUUCUUAAUCCCGACGUCUCUUCCUCCGGCCUCCUCCUCCUUAAUGCUGGCACCGCUUUCUCCUCCUGAAUGCCUUCGUUGCUACCUCGUUCAUCCUUCUUAACACAGCCAUUGUUACCUCGUAUUUUAUUUCAUCACCAUCAAUAAAAGCUUAAAUUUAAGGCUUUCAAGGUUAAUUUUGACUAAAAAAAACUCCAGAUCUGGAGUUUUCAUGGUUAAUUUGGCAAAAAAAAAAAGAUCUGCUUGAUGUCGUUACAAGGUAGCAAAUGGAUGAUCAGAGUACUCAAGCCUAAUUAAUUUUUGGUUGAGUUUUGUAGGAAAUUGCAUCUUUGGAGCUUUUUCCUGGGAUUAUCGCGGAACGACUACGAGCAUUUGAAGGCACAACCGAUUGCAUUGGACACCGAGCAUUCAAGACCCAAAGUGGAGAUUUGAAUUGGGCCAAGAAUGAAGCCCAAUCCACGUCCAGCCUAUAGCCAGGCCCGAUUGGGCGAGCUUUAGCCCGAUCGGGCGGAUGCCCAAAACAAGGGGAGAAGAAAAAGGCGGGCCCGAUCGGACGGCCCUUCGCCCGAUCGGGCGCGCGUUUCUGGAGAGCUAUUUUCAGCAAAUUUCUUAGUUUUAAUUAGGAUCGGAGUAAUUGUGGGUUUUUGUAAAAAUACGAUUUUAAUGCUUUUGUUUAGGACCUCUCUUCUUAGACUUUCUCUCUCUAAUUAGUUUUAUUUUCUCUCUACAAACUCCAUACUUUGUUCUUGAUUCAACUCCUUGUUUACGAUAAC